UACGAAGGGGGCUAGCGUUGUUCGGAAUCACUGGGCGUAAAGCGCACGCAGGCGGAUUGAUAAGUCAGGGGUGAAAUCCCGGAGCUCAACUUCGGAAUUGCCUUUGAUACUGUCUGUCUUGAGUCCGGGAGAGGUGAGUGGAAUUCCCAGUGUAGCGGUGAAAUGCGUAGAUAUUGGGAGGAACACCAGUGGCGAAGGCGGCUCACUGGACCGGUUCUGACGCUGAUGCGCGAAAGCGUGGGGAGCAAACGGG
rnacentral:rRNA from 1 species